UGGGGGAUAUUGCACAAUGGGCGAAAGCCUGAUGCAGCGACGCCGCGUGGGGGAUGAAGGCUUUCGGGUUGUAAACCUCUUUCGCUAUCGAACAAGGCCCGCUUAGGGUGGGUUGAGGGUAGGUGGAGAAGAAGCGCCGGCUAACUACGUGCCAGCAGCCGCGGUAAUACGUAGGGCGCGAGCGUUGUCCGGUAUUAUUGGGCGUAAAGGGCUUGUAGGCGGCUUGGUGCGCCUGCUGUGAAAACGCGGGGCUUAACUUCGCGCGUGCAGUGGGUACGGGCAGGCUUGUGUGUGGUAGGGGUGACUGGAAUUCCAGGUGUAGCGGUGGAAUGCGCAGAUAUCUGGAGGAACACCGAUGGCGAAGGCAGGUCACUGGGCCAUUACUGACGCUGAGGAGCGAAAGCAUGGGUAGCGAACAGG
rnacentral:rRNA from 1 species